AUUGAACGCUGGCGGCAUGCCUUACACAUGCAAGUCGAACGGCAGCACGGGAGCAAUCCUGGUGGCGAGUGGCGAACGGGUGAGUAAUACAUCGGAACGUGCCCAGUAGUGGGGAUAACCCGGCGAAAGCCGGACUAAUACCGCAUACGACCUACGGGUGAAAGCAGGGGAUCGCAAGACCUUGCGCUAUUGGAGCGGCCGAUGUCAGAUUAGCUUGUUGGNGGGGUAAAAGCCUACCAAGGCAACGAUCUGUAGCUGGUCUGAGAGGACGACCAGCCACACUGGGACUGAGACACGGCCCAGACUCCUACGGGAGGCAGCAGUGGGGAAUUUUGGACAAUGGGCGCAAGCCUGAUCCAGCCAUGCCGCGU
rnacentral:rRNA from 1 species